rnacentral:rRNA from 1 species
GGGGAAUUUUCCGCAAUGGGCGAAAGCCUGACGGAGCAACGCCGCGUGAGGGACGAAGGCCUCUGGGCUGUAAACCUCUUUUCUCAAGGAAGAAGAUAUGACGGUACUUGAGGAAUAAGCCACGGCUAAUUCCGUGCCAGCAGCCGCGGUAAUACGGGAGUGGCAAGCGUUAUCCGGAAUUAUUGGGCGUAAAGCGUCCGCAGGCGGCUUUUCAAGUCUGCUGUUAAAGCGUGGAGCUUAACUCCAUCAUGGCAGUGGAAACUGAAAGGCUUGAGUAUGGUAGGGGCAGAGGGAAUUCCCGGUGUAGCGGUGAAAUGCGUAGAUAUCGGGAAGAACACCAGUGGCGAAGGCGCUCUGCUGGGCCAUUACUGACGCUCAUGGACGAAAGCCAGGGGAGCGAAAGGGAUUAGAUACCCCUGUAGUC